rnacentral:rRNA from 1 species
UACGUAGGGUGCGAGCGUUGUCCGGAAUUACUGGGCGUAAAGAGCUCGUAGGUGGUUUGUCGCGUUGUCCGUGAAAACUCACAACUCAAUUGUGGGCGUGCGGGCGAUACGGGCAGACUGGAGUACUGCAGGGGAGACUGGAAUUCCUGGUGUAGCGGUGGAAUGCGCAGAUAUCAGGAGGAACACCGGUGGCGAAGGCGGGUCUCCUGGG